rnacentral:rRNA from 1 species
AGCAUAUAAUUAAGCGGAGGAAAAGAAACUAACCAGGAUUCCCCUAGUAAGGGCGACUGAAGCGGGAAUAGCUCAUAUUGUGAAUCUGUGCCCCUGUGGCACCGAAUUGUGGUCUAGAGAAGCAUGUGUUUGGCACGCCGGGUCAAGUCCCUUGGAAGAGGGCAGCUGAGAGGGUGAGACUCCCGUUCCUACCUGGGCUGUGGCCAUUUGACACUUGCUUUCGACGAGUCGAGUUGUUUGGGAUUGCAGCUCAAAGUCGGUGGUAAAUUCCAUCUAAAGCUAAAUAUGGGUGGGAGACCGAUAGUGUACAAGUACCGUGAGGGAAAGAUGCAAAGAACUUUGAAAAGAGAGUUAAAGAGUACCUGAAAUUGCUGAAAGGGAAGCGAAGGAAACCAGUGUUGUUGCCUAGUCAUAUUUCUYCUCCUGCUUGCGGGUGGAGCGCUGUGACUYGGUAAUUGUCAGCCUUUGUUGGUCUCGGUAGAAACCUGCUGCUGGGAGGUAGGUCCCUUGGGACUGAUACCAGUGGCGCGUGUGCCGGGAAGGAC